rnacentral:lncRNA from 1 species
AUCAGGAAUUGUUCUUUCAGACCAAGGAAAAAUUAUGCAGGGGGAUGUUUGUGGAAAUUAUAAGUUGUCAAGUAGAUUAAGAUAGAGGGUGCAGUCAAGUGCAGUGGAGAUUCAGAGUCAUAUCAGCAAUGUGACGGCAGAAGCAAAAGAAACCCGUUUUCGUCAUACCUGAGAUUGCCUGUACUGUAAUGGAACUCCAGGCAUCUCUCCAGACAAAACUUUGACGCCCACAUCUGCAUCCAUUUCACAAGUCAAACACAAUGAAAUUAUACUCAGAUGGAACUUGGUUAGGCAUUCGCGACACAAUCAGGCAUAGUGCUUGCUGUUCAGUAUUCUUGAUGUCAGCUAGAGCAAAUGGGCAGAGAGUUUCAGAUUUUAGCUAACUAUAAUCAUCAUCAUUAUUCUGUGAGGCUAGCCUAGCUUGAGCUUCAGGUUUUGCAAUGCAGUAGGUAAAGAUAACCAAAAUGAGGGAUCCCAGUUUCCAGAGCAAUUAUUUACUAAACUGACUGUACGACUGAAUGAUUCAGUUUCAGAGGGAUUAUUUUCAGAGCCCCAAGAAAGUAACCACGGCAAGUUCUAGUGUAUCGAACUAAGGAUGAUCUAGUAAUUUACUGUACUAAUGUUAGUCUCUUAGUAUUAUCUGAUCCUUGAUAAAAACAAAAAUUCCUCUUCAAAUACAAGUGCAGAAACCUUACAUCCUUGACUGAAUAAUUUGAAGUCAUCAACUGUAGAAAACAAGAAAAGGUAGUAAUCAGCCUUGGUGAUUGCUGAAGAUCUUUCUCCAUACUUCUAGGUUCUAGCUUUGCUCUACAUAUGGAUGGUUUAGGGAUUCUGAAAAGCAACAGUAACAAAAUGUGGUAAAAACUUACUUGAUCCAGACAACAACCUGAUUCGAAAUAUAACAUCAGGAUUUGCUUUUUCAGACCAAGGACAAACUAACUAUGCAGGGGAAUGUUUGUGCAACUUAUAAGUUGUCAAGAAGAUCAAGGUAGAAAGUGCAGUCAUGUGCACUGCAAAUUCAUCGUUAUAUUGGCAAUGUGACAGCAGAAGCAAAGGAAAACCGUUUUCGUCAUACCUAAGGUUGCCUGCACUGUAAUGAAUGGUCAGCUUCUGAAGAUGAGAUAAUUCAUCCUCCCCUGCCUCUCUGGAUGCAGU